rnacentral:misc_RNA from 1 species
GGAAGGAUCAUUAACACUUCUCAGGCUCGGCGGGGGGCUUCGGCUCUCUUCUGGGACUGGAUGGAUCCAUAUCCAUUUACCCCUGUGAACCGUUGAAGUCUUUUUUUAGUGAAUUUUACAAUUGUGUUUUUGAAUAUCUGAACUCAAAAAACAAAGGGCUUUCUCAUACUUUUGUGUGGGUUCGCCUGGAGUUGUUAUUUAAUCAUAAAUACAACUUUCAGCAACGGAUAUCUUGGUUCUCGCAACGAUGAAGAGCGCAGCGAAAUGCGAUACGUAAUGUGAAUUGCAGGAUUCAGUGAAUCAUCAAAAUCUUGAACGCAAAUUGCGCUUCAUUACUCUUUUGUAGUGGAGCACGCCUGUUUCAGUGUCUGUAUACAUCUAAAAGAAAGUAAAUCUUUUUUGCUUUACUCUCUUUUGUGUUUGGUGGUUGCGUGCUUAUCUGCGCGCAUCCGCUUAAGUCCAGACGACCGAUUCAUGCAACUGAGCAGGGUUCUACCUUCGGAUGGUUCAGUGUGCUCACCCAUGGCAUGACGAAGUAGCUGCACUUGACUGUGGUUCACUCUCGUUUCAGGCCUCUAAGUGGGAAGCAUUGUAAUCGAAGUUUCGUUUUCCGCAGGAAAGAGUCAACCUUUACUUUGGACCUGAAAUCAGACGAGACUACCCGCUGAAUUUAAGCAUAUUAAUAAGCGGAGGAAAAGAAACUAACAGGGAUUCCCCUAGUAACGGCGAGCGAAAAGGGAAUAGCUCAAAUUUAAAAUCUCCGAUCCCUCGGGUCGGCGAAUUGUAGUUUUGAGGGGUGCUCUCUGGCGUUGGGCUGGGCCUAAGUCCCUUGGAACAGGGUAUCAUAGAGGGUGAGAAUCCCGUCUGUGGCUCGGACUCCGACCCUACAUGUGGCAACCCCGAAGAGUCGGGUCGUUUGGGAAUGCGGCCCCAAAUGGGUGGUAAACUUCAUCUAAAGCUAAAUACCGGCGAGAGACCGAUAGCGAAAAAGUACCGUGAGGGAAAGAUGCAAAGAACUUUGAAAAGAGAGUUAAAAAGUGCUUGAAAUUGCUGAAAGGGAAGCGCUGGAGUACCAAUGCUGCGGCGGGCAUUAUCAACCAAGGGUGGAUUCGCACGCUUGGAGCGGUGACCGUAAGGCGCCGCCUUCGCGCGUCGGUGUUCAUCCCGGGUGCACUAGUGUCCGUCGCGGUCAGCGUCGGCUGGUUUUUUUCGCCUGGGGGAAAAUGGUGGCGGGUAAGGUGGUUCCCUUCGGGGUCCGUUAAGACCGCUGCAGAUACCCCGGGUCCGGCCGAGGAAGGGAGUAAGCCCUUUACGGUGCGCGCCUAGCGAGGCGCCCGGGCGCUGGUUGUUGCGUGCGGGGAUGGGGAGCUAAGCUGCCCGCUCCAAUCGUGAUGCCACCCGCCUGUGGAUCGCCGUCAGUCGCGCCAAAGACGCUGGCAAAAUGGUCUUCAUCGACCCGUCUUGAAACACGGACCAAGGAGUCUAACGUAUGCGCAAGUGUUAAGGUGACAAACCUGUGGACGCGGAAUGAAAGUGAAGGGCCGUUCGGCGGCCUGAGGAGGGAACCCCCGUUUUCGCGGGGCGCACCUUCGACCGAUCUGGAUUUUCUUUGAAGGAUUUGAGUAUGAGCGCAUCCGUUGGGACCCGAAAGAUGGUGAACUAUGCCUGAAUAGGGUGAAGUCGAGGGAAACCUCGAUGGAGGCUCGUAGCGAUACUGACGUGCAAAUCGUUCGUCAAAUUUGGGUAUAGGGGAGAAAGACUAAUCGAACCAUCUAGUAGCUGGUUCCCGC